AACAACAUGCCAGAAAAAUGGGCUAUUGUGAUAUGAUAGAUUAUGAAGAUUUUAUUCUGUUGUUA
rnacentral:tRNA from 1 species